rnacentral:rRNA from 1 species
AUUGAACGCUGGCGGCAGGCCUAACACAUGCAAGUCGAGCGGAGCGGCGGACGGGUGAGUAAUGCCUAGGAAUCUGCCUGGUAGCGGGGGAUAACGUCCGGAAACGGGCGCUAAUACCGCAUACUAUCAGAUGAGCCUAGGUCGGAUUAGCUAGUGGGUGGGGUAAAGGCCUACCAAGGCGACGAUCCGUAACUGGUCUGAGAGGAUGAUCAGUCACACUGGAACGGAGACACGGUCCAGACUCCUACGGUAGGCAGCAGUGGGGAAUAUUGGACAAUGGGGGAAAGCCGGAUCCAGCCAGCCCGCGUGUGUGAAGAAGGUCUUCGGAUUGUAAAGCACUUUAAGUUGGGAGGCGGUACCGACAGAAUAAGCACCGGCUAACUACGUGCCAGCAGCCGCGAUAAUUC